rnacentral:rRNA from 1 species
UACGAAGGGGACUAGCGUUGUUCGGAAUUACUGGGCGUAAAGCGCACGUAGGCGGCUACUCAAGUCAGGGGUGAAAGCCCGGGGCUCAACCCCGGAACUGCCCUUGAAACUAGGUAGCUAGAAUCUUGGAGAGGUCAGUGGAAUUCCGAGUGUAGAGGUGAAAUUCGUAGAUAUUCGGAAGAACACCAGUGGCGAAGGCGACUGACUGGACAAGUAUUGACGCUGAGGUGCGAAAGCGUGGGGAGCAAACAGG